rnacentral:rRNA from 1 species
AUGUUGGAAUAUUACAGUUACUAUUUUCAUUAUGGUGAGGGUGAGGUCAAUCCUUAUACAAGUUGUGGUCGGCUUAACCAGCAAGUCAGUGUUAAUGCAUAUUCUUGUGUUGAAUCUGACCGUUUGGAAUAUCAUUUUCGGAAACAAGACAAGCUUCGUUCAGAGACUUAUCAGGGCGUGUCUGAUGCAAUGGGUGAAGGCAAUUCUACCGGGAAGAAUAUUGGUGUUCAAUUUAUCUUGGUAGUUUCACUAGUGGUCGGCGCUACAUGUUGUUUAACUAUCACGAUGGAAUGGCUAUAUGCCGACAGUAUGGUGCUCCUGAUUUGUUUAUCACUUCUACGUGUAAUCCUAAGUGGCAGGAGAUUGCUGAUGCUCUUGCCGCUGAGCCUGGUAGACUGCUGCUGA